rnacentral:lncRNA from 1 species
CGCGCUUGCCUGGGUUCCAACCUCAAGUGAGAGCAUGGGGCUGAUGCGAAAUCUGGGAGGCUUUGGGACCAGCAUGGAGGAAGGGGCUUGUGGCCGGGGAGAAAGGAAUAGAAGCCUCGGGAAUUCCCCAGGCCGGACUCUAAAUGCUUGAGCCAUCAAAGACCUCUGGGGGACCCCUGGGGCACAGGUGGGGCUGAAUCACGCCAGAAGCAGGUGAGGGGUUGGGUACGCAGAGACACUCGAUUCGAGAAAAGCCCAUGGCGGCGGGAAGGGAAAACUUGUUUAUAAUUCCCACUGUGAGCCCGAAAGCGCGGAAGAGCUUUCUGCGGUGAGAACCCGAUUUCUGGAGCUAGAAAGACCCGGGGUAAAUUCCAGUUCUGUUACCCUUGUAGGCAGGGGCGGCCGAAGGAACCAGAGUAAGAGUCCGGUUUCUCUUCUGAAAAUAAUGUUUGUUAUGCGAGUUAGAGAAGUUAUUACCUGUAAAGCAAAUAGCCAACUCAGAAGUGGCAACUGCUAUUAUAUUCGGAAGACACACUUCUAUUCACUGGGUGGCUUAUGUAAACAUCACAACCAUUUUAUGAGGUUGGCUAACUAUCCACAUUUAAAAAAGAAAAGGAAGCAAACGAGGAUGAGGUUGGCAGAGCCAUGUGCUCAGGUUACAAGCUAGCUGUGAGGAAGCUCUGAUUUAAGGGCAGGUGUGCUUUAAAUCUCAGGCCUCGUCUAAAUAUCACACCUGCCUAAAACCACCAAUACAGCCUUCACAGCACCUAGCAGAGUGACCUGUCCCUGAACACCCAGGGAUAAAAUUGAAGGAGAAUGUGAAUGGACUUAGAACAUUGUCAUAUGUAGUCUGGAAUUUCUGGUACCUCAUCAGAAUCCUUGGUUCAGAUAGAGGCUCCUAGCUUUUCCUGCAGUGGCAGAUUGUCUGAAAUCACAGUGAAUUCCAAGAGUCAAGUUUGUAGCCCUAAAGUGAAUUUGUUUCCCUGACCCAGGUCCCAGAUCUUGGGAAACAAAUUUAUUUUAAAACAAAGCAGCUCUUGUGAUGUUCGAAUUGAGGUCUCCAGGAACAGCAUCCCUGUUCUUAUCCUCCUCGCUAGACCUUCAGAGCAGAAGCAAAAAACAGAGCUGUCAGAAGUAGUUCUUGAUCCUCCCUGCUCAGAUUUGGAGAUGUUGCCACAUCCAGAAGCCACCACACUGUGUGAUGGUGGGGGAUCUGGGCCACCUUUGAGAAGAGGGAGCUGGGGUGGCCCAGAAGUAUGUUGCCCAGGAACUUGCACUUGUGAGGGUGGGAUCUGGGGGUAAGGGGUAACCAGCCAGAGGGUGGAAAUUGUGUUCUGUUGUCAAAACUUAAAAAUAGCCAGUUAUUUUACCAGCAAAUUGAGUUUAUUUGGGAAUAGCAGAGGAAUUGCAAUGGGGGACAAGCAAACUAUGGCAAACCAUAGGCAAGUCCAAAGAGACAAAGGGAAGGUAAACUUUCACUAGGUUUUGGGAGGAAAAUGGGGAGGGUUUGGAAUAAAAGUCCAUUGGAAAAGAACAAGAGUUUGCGGUUGUGGCACUUAUUGGCUGCAAGCAGUGGUUAGUACCUAUUUGCUGGGUUGGGGAGGGAUCUUCCGUCUUUUUCUUAAAAGUAGGAAAUCGAAUUCCUGUGUGCAAAGUAAGAUGAUUCUUAACCUUGUUCCUGCAGGACAAGGAGCAUGUGUGAGAGCUCCCCAUUCAGGGCUUCCUGACUCCCAUUUUAAAUGAGGUUUCCUGCGUUUGUUUUGAUACCACUCUUGCUAAAUGGCCGUCAUUCCCUUCAUUCUUCACUGUUUACGGAUGCUGCACUGCUCUCAUACAUGUCCUUCACAAGUGACCAUCACCACAAGUAACAAUAUUGACUUAUCUUGAACUCAUAGAAUCCUAAAAUAAGGACUAAUGAAGGCUUUCCUUGGUUAUCUGCUACAGACUCUUAGAAGCUGUAAAGAAAUUGGAUGUUAGUGGUGACUUGUCAGGUGACACCUAUUUUGUGGCAGAGCCAGGAGGAAAACACAGUGCAGUUCACUUUCUCACUGGUAAGUCAUCAAAAGCAUCUUAUGAAAAGGACCCUUUGAGAAACUGUAACCCAGUGAAAGUUAAUGAAAAAUUCUUGCCUUAAAGCAUUCCAUAGUCCUUUUAUUGGGCUUUCUGUGGAUUUUCUCUUUUAAGAGCUAAGCAAUGUUACUAGGAAAAUAGUUAAGUGAUACAGCCUGAAUAUUUUGUUAAUUUUAAUGAAGGAGCAAUGCCUUAUCCUUCAUGUACUUUAUGCAUUAAAUGAAUACUAGUUCUUGCUCGUGUUGUUUCUGUUAAUCAUUCAGAAAAAAAAAAAAACCACUAAGUUAUCAUUUAACCGCAGAAAAAUUUGUUUAGCCAGUGAAAAGCUGUAGGUCUUAGGCCACAUGACGUUUUCUGAGUCUUACAUGGACAUGUGUCUCUGCGCGUUCCUCCCCAGGCCUCCCAGCUGAGUCUGCACAGCCCUCUGCACUUUCCCAAGAGCAGCAGCAUGAACACAUCUCAGGUGAGCUCUUUCUCCUUUCUUUCUCCACAUUGCACUGUAUUGGUUUUAUUUUAUUUAUUUAUUAAAAAUUUUUUAUGUUUAUUUAUUUUUGAGAUAGAAACAGAGCAUGAAUGGGGGAGGGGCAGAGAGAGAGAGACACACACAGAAUCUGAAACAGGCUCCAGGUUCUGAGCUGUCAGCACAGAGCCCGACGUGGGGCUCGAACCCACCAACCGUGAGAUCAUGACCCGAGAUGAAGUCGGACGCUUAACCUACUGAGUCACCCAGGUGCCCCAGCACUGUAUUGAUUUUAAUGGGGCUUAUAAGGGUCUGUACAUUACAUGGAAAAAGAGAACUAGGGAUAAAGCUAGUUUUGGGAGAAAAUACACAGUUUCAAUAUUAGCUCUUGAUGUUUGUUGUUGGUUCUGGGUAGGUAACCUUUGUUGAUGAUUAUAUUCCCUCCAGUUACCAGUUGGGUUAGAUUUCAGUUGAGUCAUGAAUGUGCUUUGAAUUAUAUUGAGAACUUUUUCUAUAUCUAUUGAAAUAAAGACAUAGCUUGUUUCCUUUAAUCUGUAAGUAUUGUGAAUAGCAUUAUGAAUUUUUAAAUAUUGUCGAUUUCCUGUACACACCCUUGCUGGUGAAUUGCUUGUAUACAUGUUGGCUGUGAUCUUUCUGCUGGUACAUAUUUCUGUAUCGUAAUUUAGGUGAGCCUAAUUUUUCAUGUGUUCCUAUCCAAUUUUGGUGUUGUGGUUAUAUUAGCCUAUAAGUAUAGGACACAUUUUUACUUAUUUUUUUUCUUGGGCUAAUGUUUUUCCCCCUGUAUUUUAUAUGAGAAAAAUUGCCUGUUAUUGGUGGGGGGAUUUUUAUGUGAAGAUUUUGAAUAUCAAAUCAGUUUAUUAAAUGAUCAUAAGUCUCCUGUGUCUCUUACCAUGUGUCUUUCAAAGAGCAGACGUGUUUUAAUCAACUUUUCAAAAUCUUUAAUCUUUUUUGCUUUUAUUAUUUAUGCUUUUUUUUGGUCUUGGUCAUAUGUAAAAAAUCUUUUCCUAAGCCAAAGUCACAAAGAUUUCCUCUCCGGUUUCUAGAAGUUUUAUAGGUCUGUGAUCAUUUUGAAUUCAUUUUUUCUUAUGGCACAAGGGAUAGGCCAAGAUUAUUUAUUUAGUUUUGUUUACAUAUGUCUGACAUUUGUUGCAAAUUUCGUUUGCGUUGUUGUUGUUGUUGUUGUUGUUGCAAAUGUUGUUUACAUAUGUCUAACAUUUGUUGCAAAGAAUACUCCUUCUCCACUGAAUUCCUUUGGCACCUCUUUUGGGAAUUAUUUGACUUUAUAUUCUUUGUGGUUCUGUUUCUGGAAUCCGUAUUCUCUUCUUAUCUGUGUUAGUCCUUUUGCUAACAUCAUACUGCCUAGAUUACUGUUGUUUCAAGAGAAGUUUUUUUUUUUUUUUAAUUUUUCAAUGUUUAUUUUUGAGAGAGAGACACACGCAGUGUGAGCAGGGGAGGGGCAAAAAGAGAGAGAGAAACAGAAUCUGAAGCAGGCUCAGGCUCUGAGCUGUCAGCACAGAGCCUGAUACAGGGCUCAAACUCAUGAACCAUGAGAUCAUGAAUCAUGAGACCUGAGCUGAAGUUGGAUGCUUAACCAACUGAACCACCCAGGCACCCCUAAGAUAAGUCUUGAAAUCAGUAAUGUGAAUCCCCCAAACUUUUUUCAUAAUUGAUUGGAUAUUGGAUAUUCUAAGUCCCCCUUUACCUCUUCAUAUAAGUUUUAGAAUCUGGCUUCUUUCUGUCUUCAAAAUUUGCUCUGAUUAUGUGUGUGAUUGCAGUGAUUAUAUACAUCAGUUUUAGACCUCCCUUUUGUGUUUCAAAAUCAUGUAACCAACAAUGCAGUGUAAAAUUCCAUCUGUGUAUUCAUAUAUAUCUAUAUGUAUGUGUAUAUAUAUAUAUAUAUAUAUAUAUGUAUGUGUAUAUAUAUGUAUUAAAUUUACAUCCAAGCUAGCAUAUAGUGCAACAAUGAUUUCAGGAGUAGAUUCCUUAAUGCCCCUUACGCAUUUAGCCCAUCCCCUCCCACAACCCCUCCAGUAACCCUCUGUUCCAUCUGUGUAAAAUUCCAUCUGUGUAUUCAUAUAUAUCUAUAUGUAUGUGUAUAUAUAUAUAUGUAUGUGUAUAUAUAUGUAUUAAAUUUACAUCCAAGCUAGCAUAUAGUGCAACAAUGAUUUCAGGAGUAGAUUCCUUAAUGCCCCUUACGCAUUUAGCCCAUCCCCUCCCACAACCCCUCCAGUAACCCUCUGUUCUCUGUAUUUAAGAUUGUCUUAUGUUUUAAUGUUUACUUAUUUUUGAGAGAGACAGAGACAGAAUGCAAGUGUGGGUUAGGGGCAGAGAGAGAGGGAGACACAGAAUCCGAAGCAGGCUCCAGGCUCUCAGCUGUCAGCACAGAGCCCGACCCAGGGCUCGAACCCACGAGUCGUGAGACCAUGACCUGAGCCGAAGUCGGACACUCAAUAGACUGAGCCACCCAGGUGCCCCUACAGUCUUUUAUGUUUUGUAACCCUCCCUGUUUUUAUAUUAUUUUCGCUUCCCUUCCCUUAUGUUCAUCUGUUUUGUAUCUUAAAGUCCUCAUAUGAGUGAGGUCAUAUGAUAUUUGUCUUUCUCUGACUAAUUUUGCUUAGCAUAAUUCUAGUGUAAGAUAAUGAUAGGGCCAUAAUAGGCAUACUUUAUAAAAUUUUGUUUUAAAUUCUCAACAGUAAACAUAAUACGUAUUAGUUUUCCAAGGCAUUUUCCAUAUUACCGGUUUUUGAGCCCCUCAGAUUGAAUAGAAAGUGUGUUAUUACAGGUAUCAGUGUCAUUCAAGGACGUGACUGUGGAGGUCACCCAGGAGGAGUGGCACCAGAUGGACCCUGCUCAAAGAACCCUAUACAGAGAUGUGAUGCUGGAGAACUACAGCCACCUGGUCUCACUGGGUGAGCAGAACUUACCAUGUGAUUUCCUCAAGAAUGCAAUUCCGUUUUCUCCUUCCUUUUAAUUUUUAAAUUGUAUUGGGGUAUAAUUAACAGAGUUAAAGUCAGUAGCUUUAAGUGUAUAAUUGUGAGUUUUAGAGAUGCCUGUAGGUGAUUACUACCACCAAAUAAUGAUAAAAUAUUGCUGUUACUCCAAAAAGUUUCAUUUUAGGUAUUUGUAGUCAUUUUUUCCUGAUCCCUCUCCCUGGCUCUGUCAACCAGUGAUCUACUUUCUAUCGCAAUAGUUUUUCCCUGUUAGAAUUUUAAAUACAUCAUAUAGUAUUUACUUUUUUCUUCUUUCAUGUAGAUUUUGGGAUUUAUGCAUGUUUUUGUACGUAUCAUUUUUUAUUCCUAACUAGUAUGCCUUUGCAUGCAUCUACCACAGUUUAUCUUCCAUGUAUAUCCCAGUUGAUAGAAUAGAGGUUUUUUCCUUUUGGGCUGUUAGGAAUAAAGUUGCUCUGUCCAUUUAGGUAUGAGUCUUUGUGUAGACAUUUGUUUUCAUUUCUCCUGUGUAAAUACCCAGAAGUAUGGUACUAUUGGUCUUAGAGUAACUUCAUAAGAAACUGCCAGAUAUUUCCAGUGUGACUGUGCCAGUUUGCAUACCCUUUAAGGGUGUAUGUAUCAUAGUUCUAGUUGCUCCACACCCUCACCAACAUUUGGUAUUGUAAGUUUUUUUUUUUUUUUUAUUUAAGAUUCUAGUGGGUGUCUUUGUAUCUUACUGGGUUUUAAUUUGUAUUUUUCUGAUAAUUAAUGAAGUUGAACAUCUUUUAAUGGGCUUUGUGGCUAUUCAUAUAUUUUCCUUUUUCAGGUCUGUUUAAAUCUUUAGCCCAUUCUUUAAAAAUUAGGGUGUUUCUUUUUUUCUUUUUGGUCCUAACUGAGGUGGAAGAAUUCUUCAUGUAAUCUAGAUAUAAGACCAUUAUCAGAUAAAUACUUUGUUAACGUUUUCUACCUAUCGUAUGCUUUUUCUAAUUUUUUUUUUCAACGUUUAUUUAUUUUUGGGACAGAGAGAGACAGAGCAUGAACGGGGGAAGGGCAGAGAGAGAGGGAGACACAGAAUCGGAAACAGGCUCCAGGCUCUGAGCCAUCAGCCCAGAGCCUGACGCGGGGCUCGAACUCACGGACCCCGAGAUCGUGACCUGGCUGAAGUCGGACGCUUAACCGACUGCGCCACCCAGGCGCCCCACCUUCUCCCAGGGGCAGGACUCACUGUGGAGUGGUGUGACCUCUGGGCUACUUGCACACUGCCAGUCUUGCGGUACUGCUUCGUUGGGAUCUGGCAUAUUAGCCAGGGUGGAUCCGCAAGGUGCACAGGGGCGGGAGGGUCAGGCUCAGCUCCUUUUGCCUUUGGUGGUCCGCUUCGGGAGGGGCCCUGUGGCACUGGGAGGGAGGCAGACCUGUCGGAGGGAUGGAUCUGUAGAAGCACAGCAUUGGGUGUUUGCCAAGGUCUUAUGUUUUUUAUAUCCUUGCUGAUUUCCUAUUUAGUAGUGCUAUCAACUGCUAAGAGAGGGAUGUUGAAUUUGUCAACUAUACUAGAUUUGUCUAUUUCUCCUUUCAGUUCUCUCAGUUUUUGCUUCAUGUAUGUGGAUGUUCUGCUGUUUCUUGCACACAGGGUUGUUGUAUUCUUAGUGGAUAGAGUCUACUGUAAUGCCCAUUUUACCCUGGAAAUAUUCUUUGCUGUGAAGUGUUAUCUUUAUUUAGUGUUUUGCUUUUUCAGUUGAGCAUGUUUCAAGGUUUAUCUCUAUUAUAGUAUAUAUCAAUACUUCAUUCCUUUUUAUGGCUGAAUUAUAUUGUAGUUUACAAAUAUGCCAUAUUUUAUUUAUCCAGUCAUCUGUUGAUGGAAAUUUAGAUUAUUUCCAUAUUCUGGCUAUUGUGAAUAGUCCUGUUAUGACAUUUGUACACAAGUUUUGUUUGAACAUUAAGUUUGCAGCAUAUAUUGAGAAGUGGAAUUGGCACAGGUCAGGCAAGGCAAAUUAGUUUCUUAGCUUAUUUUAAUUAUGUAUAAGAGUAAAUCAUCUGGUAGUUAAGCUAAUUAUACUGUUCUGGGAUUUGGCAGUGUUUUUUUUUUGUUAAGUAGGCUCCAUGCCCAAUGCAGGGCUUGCACUCAUGACCGAGAUGAAGAGUCCCAUGUUCUAUGAAGUGAGCCAGUCAGGGGCCCCUGGAAGUCAGUUUUUUAGAAUACUGAAAGAUCAUUAAAAUAGCCAGUUGGCCAGGCAAGCUAAUGGUACUUGGAGAUUGUGCUGUCUCUAAGAAGAAAAUAAAUUUGUUUCUCCCUCAUUAUAGUGUGAAGCUGCCCUCAUAAAAAGGCAUGAUGUAUUAUUUCUUCUGGAGUUCCAAGGAACCUUUAAUGUGAGGAAGAAAAAGUAUUACACACCUGGCAAGGAAAGACAAAUAUGGAGGCAGCUCAGAACAAGUGUUAUGCCCCUUCUUUUGGCAUCAGACACCUCUCUCAGUAGAUCCUUGAAGCUGAGAAAAUACUUCUUUUUGGAGCUGCCAAGAGAAUUAUUUGGAAAUUAAAAACGAGUGGAACUACUGGCACAAUGGAGUAAAGGGAUGACCCCAAGAACCAGUUCCUUUUUCUUCUGGUUGGAUCUUGAAAAUCUGAUUUACUAUCACUAUUGUUUUGCAAAAUUGCUUGAAUUAGUAGAAGCAAAGCUAAAAACAAACAAAAGAGGUAAAAAAAAAAUGCCUGCACUCUACAAUGCUAAUAAAAACUGAUAUGUAGGCAUAAUUUUGAAUUGGGAAUUCUAGUUUACUGAAAAUAAAUCUUAUUUUGGGUGACAAAUAUUUGAAGAACUGUACACUUCUGAACAUUAAUAACACGUUUCUUUUAUCAACUUUAGAAAAUAUCCAGAACAGAAGAGUCUUUGAGUGGAGCUUAUAGCAAUAGUUUUCCUUAACUAUUUAUAAUAAAUUAUGAAUAAUCACAGAAGAUCAUUUGCAGCAUCAAAAGAAAAUAUAUUCAGAUUUCACUUUGAUAAUUUCACCUUCAGGAAGUAUUUCUGAGUGAGCAAUAUGUAGAGGGUCUGUUUCAGUUGCUUGAGAUACACAUUAUGAACAAAACAAAAAUUCCUGCCCUCAAUGGAGGCUUUUUAAAAUUAGCAUAAAGGUCCUUAAUAGGCAGGCAGACAGAAAAUUGACUCUUCCAGGGUCUCUAGAUGUGGCAUCCAUGUUGGAAUAAAAGCCCAUGACCUGGAAAGGUCAUUAGCCAAGUAGGGAGAAAGAAGCAUUCAUGGCUAUAGCACAGACCAUGGUCUCCAGUUAAUAAUGUAUUAUACAGGGAGUUGUCCUGUGGGCCUACCCCAGCAAGGGGACAGCAGGUAAAGCCUAAGUGUCCAAUCAUGGGACUUUGUCACCUGUACUCCCAAUGAGUGACUCAGACUACCUGGGUGGACUUAUUUCAUCCUAAUGGGUAGAUGAUCUUGAACUUAAUAGCAAAUCCAAUCACAAUUCUAAAAGAUUAUAUAUAAAAAAGGGUAUAAAGGAGAUGAUUCUAAAUAUCUUAAGAAACUGAAACUUAAGAAACUAAGAAAGAAGGACUCUUUAUAUUACCAACUAUUAUAAAAGCAGAGUGAACAAUAAUCUCUUGAUUAUUUUUAGGGAAUAUAGCACUAACUAGAUAUUAUCUUCUCUUUUUGCAGAUGCAUCUUUGCAAGGCCAUUGGCAGCUCUAGAGUAAUAAUUUAACCGGCGUCUGAUGUUCCAUUUCUGUAGUCCUAGGACAUAUUUUCCUUUUCUUGAUUCAAAUACUCUUCAGUGAAAAAAUUCAGUAUCAGGCUAGAAAAGGAAUAUUUUGGCUCAUAUGAGGUAUACGCUAGCCCUGAUCCCAAAAGGUGGAUAUGUUGCUAGUAUAACAGAAUGCAGGGAAUGGGUCAUGAGCAGCUCUGUGCAAUAUCUUUACAAAUGGCAAUUUAGAAUAUGAACAGAUUUAAAAUCAUUAGGAAAGGGGUGAAUUACCAUAUCGUAUGUGGAGCACUGGAUAUUAAUACAAAAGAAAAAAUUGUAUUAGGUCAAAUAACAUAAAAGGAAGCACUGGACAUAAUAGAGACCUUUACUUUGUAUGCAGUUAAAAUGGUGAAUAUUUUGCUCUAUCAGUAUGAUGAUGGAUCCAGGUAGCAAUGCUGGCAAUCAGGGUAGUGAAGUCUUAGCAGCUUGGUUCCACUCGGUAUUACCAUAGAAUAGUCACUUACCAAGAGCACCUAGUCUAACAACCCAGAUAUCAGCAGCUAUGACUUUUCCCUACAGUUCACAGCACCAAAAAGGGGUGCUUUUGUCAGUCUGCAGUUUUACUGCUGGUGUGUCAAGCAGCUAGGCACAGUAAGAACCCAAAAUCAAAAUGCCAGAAGUUGUAUCAAAGGGAAUAUCUGCUAGAGUUAAGAACAUCCUUGUGUCCUGCCCCUUGAGAGGAUCAGCCACAUCAAUUUUUAGGUCUGCAUUAAUGGCAAUAAGGUUGACUAGUCACAGUGCCCAAGUGGUUCUCACUAGCCUUUCAGUGAACCAGGCCCAAUUAGAGUAACCUCUAUGAACUGAGGGCCCUACUGAGCCAGUAGCUUUGCUUCAUGCACUAGAGUGGGGGAUAAAUUUCCUCUGUAAGGGAUAGCUGCUAUCACCUCAUGUACAGAUGAGAUACUUCUGGGACCAGGACAGCUGUAUUCUUAAAUAUACCAUGUGCAUUUUACACAGGUAUGAGGCCUGAGUACUUUACAUCUUAUUAGCCAGUUAAGUCCAAGAUGACACCCUAAAAUUGGAAUAUCAAGUCAGAGUCAGGUGUCUAGUGUAAAAGAGCCCAAGAGUAAGCUAAUGGCUGCUUUACAAAAGGAGUAUACUUCAUAGCCUCAUUAGGGUAUCAAGUCAAAUAACCCUUCUCCCCCACCCCAAGGGCAUCUCCUUUUGCUAGAAAUUCCAAUCAACAGAAUGACAAGUCACAGAGACUUGAAGCCCAAAGUAGUCAUUAAGGGCUGUGAGGCCUCAAAGUUAUCUUCUUUACACACACCUUUUCCUGACUAGGAGAACCUCCUCUGAGUUAUGGGAAGGGGAAGUAUAGCAUAGAACACAUUCCUACUAUACUUUAGAAAUAAUCCCAGUAUACUGUACUGGCCUAAAGGGCCUCCUUUAUUCCAAGAUCAAAUUCAUUUCCCUUCCCUACUGUAAACCCUGCCCUAACAACAUUUUCUAAAUCUAGAUACCCUCUAAUCCCAUGGAAAUUGAUAAGAUGUUGACUUGGGCACUUGUAUCUCAUAGAUCCAGAAAAGUUUGGACCCCUUUCCUCCCUCAAAGUUCCCCCAAAUACUUGGGUGGGUGUCAAUGGCCUUGUGUCCCCUUUGGAGACAGGAAAAUUUCUCUCCCCUAAAGAAGCGAAUGUUGGGGUAUAUGGAGGUAAAAGGAAGUGUCGAAGGAGAGUGGCUUCAUGACAUUAAACAAGCCACAUUUACUUUAGUUGCAUGAGGUAUACUCAUAUUUUAACCAAAAAACCUUUCAACCUUUUGGUUCAUUGAAAGCCCUGUUACAGGUGUAUUAUUUAUUUCAUUACAUUGAAAGAAGGUGAUUUUUUUUUUAAAUGAAUUCUCUGAUGAUCUUUGAGAGACUCCUCCCAACACCAAACUUUAAUAAGUGUUAUACCCGCUGGCUGACAUAAGCUUGGCUUACUCAAAUAGUUUUCUACCUCCCCAGCAGAGGGAUGGCUAAAUUAUGUUCAAAAGCAAAUAGACCUAAACAUUUAAGAGCUUAAUAGAACAAAAGCUUACUUCUUAAUUAUAAAAUGUUCAAAUGGUAAAGAUGGGAAUGAGAAUUUUGUUCCACAUAUUCCAGGCACCCUUUUAUCUUAUAAAAGCUGUGCCAUGUUGAAGCAUGAUACCCAAGGUUGUCUUGGGUCAUCUCUGUUUUAUUCUGACAGUAUCCCUGUAGUUUGUCAGGGAGGUCUUUUGUCAGAACUAGAUACGGCAUACAACAUGAACAUUCAAAGUCCACCAGCCCUAUUUGGAGGAAAGGGAGACCCAGACAAUUACGUGUGAGUUAUCUUAAAAGGCAUGGCUUCUUUCAAGAGGGCUUUCCAUAGUAUCUUGAAAGGAGUAUCAGCCUGUGUGCAUUCUCUGAUAUAUAUUCAAGGUUGCUUUUUGGAUAAAGGUUUUCCUACAUUCAUAUGUAUGUGGUUCCUCUCUUGUGUGG